rnacentral:pre_miRNA from 1 species
AUUCAAAUCUCUUGAAGAGUUUGUUAAACUGUAGCUUCUGAUUGAAUAGUCUAAGGAGGGACCAGAGAAUGCAUUUCUAACAAGUUUUUGGUGAUGCUGAU